rnacentral:snoRNA from 22 species
AAGCAGCAUCAGUACAGCGGUGGUAUCGCUAAGGCACCAUGAUGCUUUCCGCUGGCGAUGUGGCGAGA